CAAGUCUAGUUGUGACUUAUAUGAAAACUCUUUUCCAUCAAUCACACUACUAUGGUCAUAGAUUCUUGGACUUAGCCUUUCAAAUCCCAUAAAACUACUCUUCCCUAUCAAGAUUAAUAGAUCCUAUCUUGAUACGCACCCCACUCCUAUAGUGGAUCAACUGUCACUAACAUCCACUACAAGGGCUCGUUUAGAUCCAUAUUUAUAUGUCAGUCAAACUUUAGUAGCCUCACUACGAGCAGCAGUUCCAUCUCAAGUCA
rnacentral:lncRNA from 1 species